CACCGCCGUUGCCAUGGCGGCGGCGCGGUCUGCUCGGAGCGGGCCGGGACGCCGCGCCCUGUGACCCCUCCCGGAGGCAGAGGAUGGCUGAGGUUGGAAAGCGCCUCCGGAGGUCAUGGAAUCCGCCCUCCUGCUCCCCUAGAGCGCGCUGUCCGGCACUGUGUCCAGGGAAGGAGAUUCCGUGGCCCUCUGCCGUCCGCCCCACACUGAGGCCUGAAAGAUUCCCCUUCCCAAGUGGCGCUGCGCGCACACUUCUGCUUUGCGUCCUUCCAGUCAAAGCUGUGUGACCCCCUGGGCUGCCUGUGACGGCCCGCUGUUCGGCGUCCCCCAGCCUUCCACCGAUGGCCAAAAGGCUCGAGAAAGCAGGAGCGUGCCCUGCCUGGGAGGAAGCACCAGGUGUGCCACGUGUGGGACGGGGCCUGAGGGGACGGCGUGGAGCUGUGCCAGGGGAGGGCCGGGGGGUCAGGGAAAGGCUGUGAUUUUUUUGUGCUUUGAAACGUGAGAAAUAGCGGAAUACGUGCCAUAAUAUUUAACUCUUUAACAAAUUUUAAUCACAUUCAGAUAUUGAGAAUGAAAAGAAAGUGAAGCAUUCAGCUUUCCGAAGCAUUCAGCUCUGUGAAUAUACAUGAAUUAACCAGCACAGUGCAGGUAUAAUGGAAGGGCUUCCUGGUCAUUCUGGAGCAUCAGCAGCUGUACCUGGAUGUGAAUUGCACUGUGAUACAGAUAAGUUUUGCAUUAAUACUAUCCAUUUUUCAAUGUGUAAUGUUUUCAUAUUCAUACAAGUGAAGGGUUUAUGUUUUUGCUUGGUAUGUGUAACAGACACAUAUAACAGUUGCCUUAAAAACCUGUUGUUUGUCAAGAAAAAUUAGUUGAUCCGUUGAUCUGAAGUCACUCAUCUUGUUGAACCCAUUGCAAAGGGGCUCAGACUGAGGAAGCAGCUUCUGCCUCUUGCUGUACUGUUAGACUUGCUAGGUAAUUCUGGACACAUUGCUUAACCUUCCCAAAUCUGAGUUUAAUGAGCUGGAUAUGCACUUGAGCUCUGUGAAUGAGAAGUGUUUCAGUUUGAGUUCUAAUCCUCCGUUCAUCAGUUGACAGAAUGCUUCCACUGUGUUUCCUUAUGUAGCGAGGUGUUCUCUGCUCUGAGAUAAACUUGCCUUUAUUUAGGAGACCUGAAGGAAAAACGAACAAACAAACAAAUGAUGCAUUUGCUAAUUUUUCUGAGAUUAAACAUUCAGUAGAACUCAACAAAUAUGUUUACUAGUUUAAUUGGAUUACAUUAAUAUACAUCCCCACAGCUUUUAUUACAUAAGCCCUUUUCUACCAGGGAUUUAGUCUAUUAGUUAAGGAAACCUGAGGGAUUAAUCUGAUAGCUGCAGUCAGAAAUUACAGUGUAAUUAAAGUCACCCAGGAAACAGUGAUACUGAAGUCUGCCAAUCCCUGCAAAACAAACUUGUCAAUUUUCUGCAUCUAGGAUAGCAUAUAAGGUGACACAUUAAAGGGGCACAAGUUCUGCACCAGAAAUAGGCCUGUUAAGGAGGAACUUGUGUACUGCACAGUGUAGCCAUCGCUGUUCUUGCUACCAACUACUGCUGUCUGUUUUUGAAUAGACUUUAAAGGUUUUGGUGUUUUAUUAAAGGUCAUGUACAGUGUGGGAGAGGAAGUAUAACACGGCUUGCACGGAAGUCUAUUUUAAAGCUUACUUUACUAAUUUAGUUGGACCGAGAUGUUACUUCAUGUCCAAAAGAAGAUAGAAAAUGCAAUGGCUGUAAAGAAGAAAGUUGCAGAGCACUGGAGCAGCCUUGUUAGUAGCAGGGAGAGACGUUUUGUCAUGGUCUGUACUUGUCAGUGUCAUUUGCUGCAAGCAGGGUAAUGGAGAGCAUGCAUCGGUGCAUGAGUGGAGGAGGAGAUCUGUUGUCUUCAUGAAUGGCAUCAAGGAACAGCACAGCAUUCCAGAAAUUCUGCAGAGUGUCAGUACUUGUGAUGUGUUUGAGCCAUUCUAAUAGCAUAAUAUACGCAGGAGAGAUUUAAUUUCACUAUAUCCAAAAUACACAGCAUUUGGUAUUUCUUUUGUUCUAUGAGACAUAAGUCUAAUGAUGCAUAUUCUAGUUAGUGCAACUUGCUAUCAAGGUUGUAAAGAAAUAAGCAACAAGAAGAAAAUAACGUAUGUAUUUUUUCUGUUGUCAGAGUAGACUUGUAUAUAUACUUCACAGCUUUGUCUUCUUGCUCUAAGUUGUAAAGUAACCUUCACAUAACAUUGUGUAAAUGGAAAAGUUCUCUGCCAGAAAGCUAAAGCCCAAUAUCUGUUGCUUGCAAAGCCACAGAGGGAACUACCCAUUGUUUCCUAGGAGGAGAUGGUGCAGCGACUUGCUGUGGCUUUAGCAAGAGGGCAAGGCUUUGUGAUAGAAGAACCUUGCAAUUAUCCUCUCUCAGCAGAGAGGGGAACUUGAUGACAUCAUUGUUUUUUCCCUGUGAAAACGCUUAGUUGGAAAAAGACAAAAAAAGAUUCAAUGAAUCACAUGCAACAUCCCACUUGGAAUCUUUGAAUAAUCCCAAAGAGUGCCAUUCACUGCAACAAUCAAAAUGUAAGCCAAGAGAGUUCUGCAGCAUUGCUUUUUGCCCACUGGCCUUCAUCUGCAGAAGAUACAUCGGUGAGGUAAUAGUGGUCUUUCUAAUGCAAAAGAGUGAGGGACGAUUUGUUGAGCCACAUUCCCUGAAGAAAGAAGGCUUAUGUGCACAGAUUCUGUCUGGCCCAACAGCCAGCACUAGAACAUGGAAUCCCAUUGGGCAAUUCACUUCAGUAUGAAAAAGAGAAGACUCCAGUUUUCUGUCAGGACUGUCAGCUGAAGGGCUGAGCCUAACAGCUGUUCUGUGUAAGAGUUUGAACUCAACUGUUUCAUUUUCUCUCCUUCACAGCCGUAUUACUGGAAGAGGAGAAUGUGCCAAAAGGUGUUUUGCUCAAUGAAAAAGUGCAGUAAAUUUGAGCCGUAUCAGGUCUGUGCCGCUGGAGAAAUAUGCUUUCCUUUUUUAAAGUGUAUGGAAUCCUACAACUUCCUUUCUGUUUCUUGGUUUUCUUAACAUAACAGUGGCAGCAGCAUUGGCUUCUGUAGAAUGUCAAUAGAAGUUAUGCUUCAGAUCCAGAUGUGCAGAGGAAGAAGACUUUCCUUCCACAGCUCUGUGGGUCCUUCUAGCUGUUACAUACCGACCUGUCACAGAGGGGGUUCUGUGAGUCCUCCCUAAUUCAUAUUAAGCACAAUUGGGCAGAUUUUAUUAAGCAGUUUAAAAUCCUGUUCUGACAUACGGCAUCUGGUUUUGCAUCACUUGAAUUAGCAAUGCUCCCACAAGCUCUUCUCUUAGCACAUCUGAAGAGUGUUAACCCUAUCCACUGGCACUGCUAGAUGGAAAAGAAAUCAUCUGUAUGUGACCUGAAGCCCUGUUGCCAAUGCACAGGCAUAUAGCAUUGUGGACGUGGCUACAGCCUGUACAGAAGAGAAUAUAAUUCUAUUUGGAGGGCUUGACUAUUCAAGCUCUGUGAACAGGAAGAAAAGGGCUGACUCAUAUAACAAGCCAACGUCAAUGAGCAGAAUCACAUUUUAAAUGAGGUCACUUAAACAAGUGGUUUCUUAUACUGAGAAAAAUUACAGGUAGAUUGAAAUGGUGUGUUUAAAGUACUGCUUGGUGGUUGGGGGCACUAAGGAAUCUAUUCCAAGUGUGGAAAAAAGCCUUCACCACAUAUGCACUGGAGGUCUUAAGAAGAAGGGAUAGUUGGAGUGUAAGGGAUAAUCUUGAGCUGUGAAUGGCAUGAGCAAACAUUUAGGGAAGCCUAGCUCUGUAUGGUAGGAAAGUCUCAGGGAGAUGAGCCAGUACAUCUGUGAGCAAUGGAAUCAGCGAAGCCUGGUUUCCAAUGGGUAUGUGUCCCAUUCUGGGCUCUUUCACAUCUAAUCCGGUGCAAGAUGUGAUCCAAGCUUUUCCCGUGGCCUGGAUGGUCUUUGUGUCUGUCGUAGGACAUCGUCUAGUGAGUAGGGAUUUGGUACAUCUUUUCCCAUGGUUGGAAGUGCUGUUUGGGUCUCUUCUUCCCAGUUGGCUGCCCAUGUCUGCUAAACUUGCAACAAAUUUCUAUCUUGAAUUCUUUACUUUGCUUAGAAAUUUAUUUGAAAAGCACACAUUGGAUUCAAAAGUUAUUUAAAGGGGAAGUGAAAACAGGAGAAUAUGCACUCAUACACCAAAUGCAACGGCAUAGGCCUUUUGCCUUAAGAAAUUGAAACGUUAGAAGAAGGUAUUUCUGCCUACAGAUAUGGUGGUUUCCAGCACUGGUGGUGAUGUCACUUCAGAUGAGGGGGAGAUGGGGAGAGGAGAGGGUUUGGAAUAGAAGGGGUGAAUGGAAGCAUCACUAAAACCUGCUUUCGCUCUGUGACCUUUGAAGUUGUUCCGUGCAGAGCUGGCAUACAAUAUUUCAACACUGUACUCUUGUGGUAGGUUCAUUUGUCAAUUUUUAUUUAUUUAUUUAUUUAUUUAUUUAUUUAUUUCAACUUAGUUAUUUACUGGGUGAGAAAAUGUAUAGUUAAAACCCAGAUUUAGUCUAAAUGUAUGUACAGAUUAACUUUUUUUAAUUGACUGUUUGUUAGGCUGGCAUUACUGGUAUGAUUUGUUUUGUUUAACCUGUUUGUCAUUCCAAAGUAAUAUAUAUUUUCUUUUCUAAGAGGAAUUUGCACUGGUAUGUAUGGGAACACAAAAUCCAAUACAAGUCUAUGAAACAAUCUACCCAAACGUGUAUCUAAAUCCAUUUGAAUAGGCACAUUUUGUGACCUGGAGAGAUUUUCUGUAGUUCCUAUCAACAUUUUUAUCAAAUCUUCAUUCCAGUAGGUCGGAACUCCGUUGUUACGCUGAUGCUAUGGCUAGCUUGAGAAAUAACCUUCCUUUUAUUUGAGAACCCGUAGCUGAAACGUGUGGUAGAGCUAGUCUGCUCUUUUGUCUAAGGAAGAAAAGAAAUGCCCAAUGGAAAUAGAAAGGGGAAAACUAUUGGAAGAGCUGUUAAAAACAAACAGCUGUAUGUUUUCCCCCUCUACCUUUGAAAAAUUCAAUUAGUUCCAAGCAUGGAUUUAAUCUGACGAAGUUAAUGUCUAUUCAUUUCUUUGAUAUCAUUUCUUACAUCAUUCUGUGAAAUAGAUUUCCGCGUUCAGUUCAUUAUCCAAUCAUUACUUUUCUGAUUCAAAUAACCAGUCAGCCUGCAGGGUACAAGCCCUGCUUUCAACAGUUGAAGUUGAUCAUAUUGGCCAAUACUGAGGUAGACAGACUGGGAUUCCCCUCUUUAAGGAAUUCAGGACAUCGUGAAAGCCACAAAGCGACUCCUUCACAACACUGAUACAGAUGGCAUGACUGGUGUGUUCAGCUGACUCUUGUCUGAGAGUGUUUGCAGGGUUGUAAACCAGCAGUAUCCUCCCUGUUUGGUCUGUGUUUGCACUGGCUUAGCCAACAUCAGAAUCUGCUCCAGGGAUAACAAAGGUAGCAGAGGUGGGGUUCUUUGGGGCUUGUUAGGCCGCUUUCCUGUAUUGGAUGUAGUGUUUGUUAGCAGAUUAGAACUGAACCUUGGGUAUCAUAAAUGAGUUGGCCGUGAGCCCCUGUGGGCAAGAAGUCCAGUGGUAUCCUGGGGUGCAUGAAAAAGAGAGCAGUCAGGCUCUUCUUGGUGGUGUGUAGCAAUAGAACAAGGAGUAAUGGCCUAAAACUUGAACGUAGGAAGUUCUGCACAAACAUGUGGAAGAACUUCCUUGUGGUAAGGAUGACAGAGCACUGGAACAGGCUGCCCGGAGAGGCUGUGGAGUCUCUUUCUAUGGAGAUAUACAAGACCUAUCUGUUCGCCAACCUGUGUGACCUAUUGUAGGGGACCUGCCUCAGCAGGGGGUUGGACUCAAUGAUCUCCUGAGGUCUGUUCCAACCCCUGUGAUUCUCCUUUAUGAGGGCUCAUGUUUUUUAAUUUAAUAAAUAUGAAAUAUUGUUCCUUGUUCGAAAGCUCACCUGUCAGGUUACACUCUUGUAAUUCCACUGCUUUAUAAUUGCAGUAUUCUUUCAGUAAGGUUCUUCUAUAUAAAAACAAGCUUGGGAAGAAAAGAGAAUAUCAUUUGAAGCCUCCUUUAAAUAUCCUGAGGAUUAAAUGUCCCUUUUGUGUUUAUAGUAACACUUUCUAUAGCGUGUGAAUGAGUAUUUUGGGGUAUUUGUUCUCAGCGCAGUGAAUGAACAAAAUGGUCCUCUUGAUUCUGUGAACAGAAGAAGUCUUUUUUUGUGUGUAACCUUGGCAGCAGACGUAAGUAUGCUCAUGGAUGAAGGAAAGACAAAUGAUUAUGGAAGCUAGAGACUGGGAGAGGACUUAGGAGAUAUAUCACAACGUGUUUAUUCUGCCCUUAACAUUCUUCCCUCUAUGCUAAGUAUAUUAGAAGCGUUGUCUGGAUCGUGGAAAACAAGGUUUAUUCACAAAAGCCACACAGUGUGUGAUCCUGGUGCCCCAGAGCACAGACCACAUCCACAUCAGUCAGUGUUCUUCUUACCACGCUCAGUGUAAGUCCCAGCAUCUCAGAUCACCUUUUCCAGUAACGCUUUUGGCAUUCCUUGUGUCUCCCUGUAGAUCAAGCCAAAAGUAAGCUUUACACCACUACAGCAAGCCAAGCAAGGGACUGACAGCUUAGCAAUGCCUUGAACGUCGUCACAUGCAACUUGCAGUGGCAAAGUGGUACUUAACAACUCUAUUUUCAUAGUACCUUGCUGCGUCUCUGUGGGUCAUUCAUAUCUAAUAAAAUAUACACACUGUUGGAGAUGGGAUUCUGAGCUCAGCAGCCUUUCAGUGUGACCAACUACACUGUUCAUAUGUAGAUGUAACAGUUAUUUUAGGUGAGUCCGUUCUGCAAUGUAGACACUGGCUAGUCCAUUAUUGUGAAGGAAACGGAAUGGACAGAGCAUUUAAUUGAUUAAUUACCCUAUGUUCAAAAUGCAGUCAGAUCAGGGUGAGAAUGAAGCCAGUAGGGAAAAAUGAUGGCUCUUUCAAAAAGUAUAAAGAAUAUUGUCAGUUUAACAUAGUAAGUGCUGCUUAAGAGUAUUUCCCAGAUCACAGUAGAGAUUUUUACUCUUUGCUCUCAUGCCCUGAAAUAUAACCUCAUCGUUCUGACCAAUAUGUGGCAGUCAUUUAGCAAUACGUCUGCUUGGGGAUGUUACUGGGGCUGUUAACAAAGUUAGCAAAAAGCUUGUCAUUUAACUUCUUGAAGCCAGGCUAAAGAUUUAGUGCCAAUGCAGGGGACAUCUGCUUUUUUUCUGGUCAAAAUGAAUAGACUGAAUUACAGAGACAAUAAAGAUGGAGUCUCAUGAUGCUAUUGUACACUGCUUUGCUUUUCAUUUUGAAGAGAACUCACAAGUAAUGGACAAAAUCAAAUGAAUCACCCCCUAUAUUUCAGCCAUCUUGUCUCAGCAAAUGGGCAGCAGUCAACAAGGAGAAGCAGGAACUUCAGAAAAUGAUUUGUUCUAUUUAUUUUAGAUACCCAUUUCAGGAUAGAGGAACUCAUCCCUCAGAAGGAGGAAGGCAUACAUACUGUCUCGUAUGUGCAGCUGUCUUGCUUAGCUUCUAAAUGAAUUCUACUCUAACUAGCCUACCUAACCUGUUUUUGCUACUGGAAUCAGAUGGAAAUACAGUCAGUAUUUGCAAAUGCAAAGCUCCACAGAAAUAGAAUGUAUCAUUCUAUAUUUCACCCUGCUUCACAGAGAGCCAGGGAAGGCUUUUUUUCAUCUACCCACUGAGAACAAAGUGCUGAUUUGGCUCUAUGGUUCUUGGAAACUGUCUUUGCUCUGCUAUUUCCUGUUACAUUCUCAAGCUGCGUAUUUUAGAUGUGAAUGAGGACCAACCCCCCAUCUCUUUUUGCUUGUAGCAGUAUGACAUGAUGCCUUGGACAGAUGUAGAUGGGUGUUUCUUGCCAGUAAAAAAAAAAAAAAAAAAGAAGUGGAAAAUGAAAGCACGGCAGAAAGUUUAGUUCUGGGGGUUCACUCCUCACUGUGUAUGGUAAACCAUGGCAACACCUUCAGUAGUGCUGACCUUGCCUGACAUGCUCUGCAGAGGCUGCACACCAAUUCCCAUCCCCUGGGAAGACCUUUGACGCUUUGCAGGAUUGUUAUUUGUUUCAUCCUCAGACACACGUUACACUGGCAGACCAAGGCAGCGAGUGCUUGCUUUGGUAGCAUUGGCAGGGGCUCUGAGCAUCUCCUUUCACAGCUCUGUGCUGCAGCCUGACAUCGUGAAGCUGCCUGCAGGCCAGGCAGACAUUUCCAAACAGCAUUCCUGGCAGCACAAACAGACAAUUAAAUUUAAAGACGAGGCAUUGCCACCAUUCAUUUGAAUGACUGUGGUGCUUCAGCAUAUUGCUAGUGUUUGUUGACAUAUGUAAUUUAUAGAAUUUGGUUUGUGUGUGGUGGGAAGAGGAAAUAUAUCAGUGCGGUGAUCUGACACCUCGUCUACGUUGGUGGCCUUAUUUCAUACCUUUUUGCAUGCCAAAUGGAAUGAAGUGCUCUCAGAAUCUGUAGAUGACCUGGCAGGAGCUGAAUGAGUGUCCUUAAAACCAUUUGUACUGUUGUACCUUUGUGUUUUCUGUUUUGUGACCUUGGCAGACCAGUGAUUGGGAAAGCUGCUCACACACCAUCUGCACCUGCUACUUUUGCCGUGCAGCAAGUGGUCAUUUCCUUUCCAAACAUGACUGGCUUCUGAUAGCAGUGGGAAAUUGGCAGCUCUUGUAUGAAAGCAGUAGAUUCCAGUUUCUUCUUUCGGCUUUUCACUGAGAUAGAACAGGAGUUGUUAUGGUUAUGUCCCCAGUGCUCUGUGUCACAGCUUUCUUUUCUACAUAACUGCCUUUUCAAUCAUUAAGUACAAUCAGUAUAUGGAAUCACAUCUUGUAUUGUAUAAUACCAUAUUACCCUGAGAUCUUUUUUUUUUUCCAGUAUCAUCUUAAUUCUAAACAGAGAUGCACAACCGACAGUGAAAAUGUUUCCCUUUUGUCUCGUGGCCUUUCUUUCUCAUUUCCAUGAGAAGAAGAGAGUGCAGAAUAAAGUUGCUCUCUUGACUUCCGUGGUCUGGCUAAAGAAACAACAUAGCAGGAGUGAGCUGUGCUUUUCUCCUUAUUUCUCUGGCACAUUGAAAAGAUGAGGUGUAGGAGUGUUCAUUGCUCUUCUAAUUCUCUCCUCCAGAGGGGAUGGAAGCUGUUGCAAUUCUUCCUUAUGAGGGUCCUUAAAAUCAGCAGGUAAGGAAGUACUGUGUUGAGCAGCACGCAGGCAAUCCCCCCAUCUCCAGCCUCAAGGAUCACCCCUGCAGAGAGCUGGGAAGGAGCUGUGCAGCUGGCAGAGAGCGCCAGGAGGUGGUGAAUUUAGUUUCUACUCUUAACAGCAUGAAACAGCUGCAUUGGCUUUACGUGUGGUUCGAAGAUUUGCCCUCUCUGAAAGUUAGGGCAAGUUGUUUGUGGCAUACAGUGUGCGCCUUAACAAAUGUGCAGUCUUUUUCUUCCUGUCAGCAACUGGAGAUGGUGAUAGGAUCACAUGUUUUUGCCCACGCUUUCAUGUAGCCUUGUUAAUGAAACAGGUAAUCCUGUUUGUCUUAAAAUCAAGGCAAACAUCUCUCAUGUUCUGUCCAUCUGUUCCAGACACUAACAGCACGCUCAUCACCAUGGUAUUGGAACAGUCUGGUACACAAAUAGCAAUCAGCAGCUAUUAGCAUAAUAUUAUUACUAGAUCCAUAAAGCUAAUAUUGGCAGAGAUAGGAGGUGUCGCACGUUGUGAGCUAGUUUCUCAGCACAUGUACCGUGUUCUGCCAGAAUGUGAUAAUAUUCUGUAUAAAAAUCAGUAGAAGGAUGCAAUUUUUAAUUAUUUCAUGCAAGCAGCAUAAAUUGUCCAUAUAAUACAAGUCAAUGAUUUCUUCUUGCAUUCAGUAAUUGGCAAUCCAUUGCUGUCUCGUAGUAAAACAGCAUUCUUUAGAAAGCUAAGUGUAUAAACAGGAGGGGGGGAACGGCUGUUUGUGAGGGUGGAUAGUGAUAGGACAAGGGGGAAUGGCUUUAAACUGAGACAGGGGAGGUUUAGCUUGGAUAUUAGGAGGAAGGUUUUCACCCAGAGGGUGGUGACGCACUGAACGGGUUGCCCAAGGAGGCUGUGGAUGCCCCAUCCUUGCAGACAUUCAAGGCCAGGCUGGAUGUGGCUCUGGGCAGCCUGGUCUGCUGGUUGGCGACCCUGCACAUAGCAGGGGGGUUGGAACUCAGUGAUCACUGUGGCCCUUUUCAACCCAGGCCAUUCUAUGAUUCUAUGAUAUUAAAUCAAACACUGAAAACUCCUUUUUUCCAUCCUCCUACCCCCCGGUCAUUGAUGCAGGCUGAUACAGGAGCGAAUCUUUGCAUGCAGGAGGUCACUCAUCCCAAAUGUCCAGCACAUGAGACAAGGUGUACUCAGCAUGAGAUCUUCUGGAGUACUGCUGGAGAGGUGGCACAUCACUGCAGCUUGCCAGAUAACUGUCACGCUGUGUCUGCACACACUCCCAGUGCUUUCUGAAAGGAGUGAAAAUUGCUUUCUGCUUUGCCGGCCCACAGAAAGAACACAGAUCUUUCAGAUCCAACAUUUUCAGACCUCAGACCUCAAACCUUUCAGAUUACAAGGGAAGCAGAUUGCAGAUCCCUCCAAAAGAUCCCGACUGCCCCAUAAAACGCAGCCAUUCUCUUCCUGUCCUUACACCCCUUCACUAAUCUAAUUUACACACAUUCAGAAGCCCAGCUUCAGAUGUGUCCUUUUCAUUUGGUCUCUUUUCCUAUGAUGUAAUAUAAGAUUUAUUUUGGAGUUGAACAGCCACACUUUUUCAAUCUCUGGUAUAUAAAUUGCUAGUUAAAAGAAGUGGAUUCCUCUCAGGUGGCAGAUUUUUGCAGGUCUGCUUCAAUGAAUGGCUCGUGUAUAUGUGUGUAUAUAUAUAUGUAUGUUUCUUUCCUCUCUUAGUCAGAAUUUGUUCCUGGGAGACCUAUUUUGCAAGCUUGUCUGCUGAAACUUCUGUAGAGAAGAAAGCAGACGGAGCCUUUUCAGAUUGCAGCUUCCCAGUUGCUGUGUUGAAAGCAUGAAGCAAAAGUGAAACCGAGGUAUUACAGUUCUUAGUUCUCAUAAACGGCUUUUCCUUGCUUUGCUCUGCAGCAAAUUCCAGCUGAGCUAACAUUUCUGUUAGCAUGACAAUGCCCAUACGUGCACUGCUGUAAUGAGAGGGAGCAUCUGUGUCUGAGCUGGUUGUGAUUGUGUUGAAAAGAGACAGAUUGUCAUCGUGUGUCAGUCCUUACUCUUCCACUGAACAUGAAACUUCCUUGGUCGUGCUGUUGGUUCAGUCUCCAGUCUCCAUUUUCAUAUCA
rnacentral:lncRNA from 1 species